ACCCUUUUUCAAGCGUCGCGUUCCUCCACGGGGUCCAGCCACACGAGGAGGACGUGUGGGCAUGCGGAGGAGAUUCGCGUGCCGCGCACGAGUCCGGGAGGAGCAUGAAAUGCCGUGUAGUUCCAUGAAUCGGCCAUGCUGGUACAGCAAGCGAGAGGGCCCUAGAACAAGAUCAGUGCUGCACCCUGAUGAAUGACGAUCUGGUUGGCCUUCCUGCUCGUGAGCGUAGAGGAAACGGGAUUAUGGGAGACACCAUGGUUGGCUCUAGAUUCACCAAACGACAUGCCCGGUAGGUAGGUGCUUCGGAUCAAGUGCAGAUUGCAUCACUGAAGCGGAGAGAAACAAGCAUACAAGAGUUUCGGAGUUCAGAUAUACGCGAGCGUCUGAGAAACGGACGGGAUGGACAGUCUGAACUCUGAACAGCGAACUCUGAACGGGUCCAUGGCUAGCCGCGGGGGUGCAGGUGACUAGGUCAGGUCCGUCCGUUCCUAGCUCGGAGGCGGCGGCCUGUCCGCAUCUCGAUUCCACGGCCAACUCUCGCUAUCCCAGACCAAAACCAAACCACGCGCGCCGCUGCCCCCGCUCUGUUUACUCCGGCGCAGAUGCCCACUCGCCGGGGUCCAACUCCACGGAGAAGAGAGAGGGAAGCAUAUGGGAGGGAGCGCUGCCCGGGGCUUCAGGCCUCUCACCCACCCAUCAGAAAUCAGUCCACGUACUGCUGCAGAAGGAAGUGAAACUGCGAGUUUUGCCUCAGUAGUGGCGGCGGCUCCACGUCCAACGGGUCGAUGUCAAGCAUCAGACGUGCUAUAUCGUCCAAGGAUAUAGGGGUGACCACAGCCUGAGCAGCAAGCGCAGAAUUACUGCGGAGCAACUGGAUCUCCGACUCCAAGAUGGCAAUCUUGCUUUCCAGUCUAAACAGACCAUUUUUUUUAACUUGUGAGGCUCUCAUAGGAUGUGAACCUCCAGAAAGAAAAGAAAAAAGGUGCGAAUUAAGAUUGCAACUUUCCAAUUUCUUGGCCCUUGGCUUCUUCAAGGUCAGUCUACCAGCAAGAGAUAGUUAAAGAACUCAUUCGGGACCAAGUAGACAACUAAAACACUACAGAAACUGCAAUAUUGAUCCAGUUGAAUUACCCUCAAACGCUUUUCAACAUCUAACCGCCAUCGCGAACCUGGAUAAUUAUGGAAGCCUUGGUCUCUCUUCGGAACCUGUGUUCAUUGCGAGCUGCCAUUGCCCGUAGUCCUGUCUGUAUUACUAUAGCUGAUUCAUAUUCUUGACGUUUCAGGUAAGACCAGUUUUACUGACCUUAAGGGCACAAAGCGCUCAAAGUAGUGAAGACAUACCUCUCCAGAACUUCUGAGAUCGAACUGAGGCUUUUCGUAAGUUGAGGAAUUCCUUUCGCAUAAGAUGUGUCUUUAUACGCCUCUGGAUUAGUCGCGCAGCAUUGACCAAUACUUCUGCUCUUCGAGCAUCCAACUCUGCCAUCUGACCGGCUCUUAAGAAUACCUUUGUUUUCCCUAUCUGAUAUAAAGAAGGUCACGUGUGAGGUUUUACAAAAGAUAUAUGCUGUAUAAGAUUGUUUUAUCUCCCGUAUUCACCCAUUGACAUAGGCUACCUGAUAUCCUUUCAAACCCAUUCUAUCACAUAUUGCUGCACAGGCGGCCUUCUCAUCAGAGCUGAAAAAGAAUUGAGCUCGGUUAAACCUUCUUUCAGAAAAGCCAAGAGUAUAUUUGAUUGGCAUAUUUCACUUAGAGUUUCACCUCUACUAUAUCGUCUACUUAGAUCCCAGCUAGACCAUUCGUACCUGUCCACAAGCUCUGGUGCAAGCAUUCCAAACCGAUCAAUGAACUCAUCAAAUGUCCUCUUUGUUGGAUAGCCAGCACAGCUGAUCCUGAUUGCUUCCAGAACACCCUGUACCAUGACAAUGUGCAAAUGUUGAACCAAUUGAGACGCAGAACAUGAAAUCAUGGUUGCAGAGAAAACAUGAUGAACAAAUUCCACAUACAUACCCCACAUCUCAAUUGAUUCAAGACGUUGAAAUUCUCAAAGAUGCCUGGUUUCAGUACAGUAUUAGGCUUCACACAUCUAAUGUAGUGAGGUUCUGUUGUACUCAGUGUUUCCAUGAGGGAUUGCAGUUGUUGCUGUGUAUAUUAAAGUUAAAAGGUUACUGGCCAUUCAAAAGACAAGCAUAGAGAUCUGGCUCCAAUAUGACACACCUUAAAGCGAGUACCGAUUGAAGAGAAUUUGGACUGUUUAGAAGUCUCCUCAGGUAAUGGAGGAAAGAGAUUUGCAACAAAAGGGCACCUUGAAGAAUUUAGUAGAGCUUGGUGUUCAGCUACAACAUAGUCUUUGUUCUUAUCAAGGAACUGAUCUGCUUGAUAUGUGACCUGUUGGUUGAACAGCUUGUUAAAACUCAUUGUUGGUAGAUUGUAUAUUUCAUAUCGUAACUGAAUGGUUGCUUACAUCUCCUGCGUAGUGGUUGAUUGUAAAGGCGGUGCGAGCAAGUUUGGGCUUGCUGAAGCGCUUAUGUGCCUUGUAUGUUUGGUACAUCUUUUGGGCAAA